rnacentral:rRNA from 1 species
GCUUCGUGCUGGGCGGAAGCGGCGCGAAUGCGUAGGGGCCUAGGGUGGUCGUGAAUGAUGGGGCGGAAAGCGCUGGUGGGCGGCCCGGUAAGUCCGGUGUGAAAGUCGGGGGCUCGACCCCCGAGAGCCGGUGGAGACGGUCGGGGUAGGGGGCGGAAGAGGCGAGUGGUAUUCCUGGGGUAGCGGUGAAAUGCGCAGAUAUCAGGAGGGAGACCGAUUGCGAAGGCAGCUCGGUGGGACGUAACUGUCGCGGAGACGCGAAAGCGUGGGGAGCAAACAGGAUUAGAUACCCGAGUAGUG